rnacentral:rRNA from 1 species
AUUGAACGCUGGCGGCAGGCCUAACACAUGCAAGUCGAGCGGAUGAAGGGAGCUUGCUCCUGGAUUCAGCGGCGGACGGGUGAGUAAUGCCUAGGAAUCUGCCUGGUAGUGGGGGAUAACGUCCGGAAACGGGCGCUAAUACCGCAUACGUCCUGAGGGAGAAAGUGGGGGAUCUUCGGACCUCACGCUAUCAGAUGAGCCUAGGUCGGAUUAGCUAGUUGGUGGGGUAAAGGCCUACCAAGGCGACGAUCCGUAACUGGUCUGAGAGGAUGACCAGUCACACUGGAACUGAGACACGGUCCAGACUCCUACGGGAGGCAGCAGUGGGGAAUAUUGGACAAAGGGCGAAAGCCUGAUCUAGCCAUGCCGCGUGUGUGAAGAAGGUCUUCGGAUUGUAAAGCACUUUAAGUUGGGAGGAAGGGCAGUAAGUUAAUACCUUGCUGUUUUGACGUUACCAACAGAAUAAGCACCGGCUAACUUCGUG